rnacentral:lncRNA from 1 species
GAAAAAAGGCAUUUAGAAGAUGGGACCCAAAGAUUAGAGCUGCCAGUAUCAAAGACGACAGAGAAACUUUGUGGAGGUGAACCAAUACCAAUCUCUCCAUAAUAUUGGGCAUCAAGAUAGUUGUUUAAAUAAACUACAUCUGCUUUAGGAUGAUUGAAACGAUUGUGAACCUCGUUUUUAGUGAUUAACCUUGCAGCGUUGAUGGUGUUAAUGCCUAACUGCCGCUUCUUCAGUUGAAUCCUCAGUAACCCAUGAGAAGGAGGAGGAGGAGGAGGCAUCGAGGCUAAGAUGCAGGGGCAAACCCACAUACAUAUUGCAGCAAGAAGAAACUUAAUCCCCAUUCUUACACAAAUUUUCCUGUGCGGGUAUGACAUCAAAGGAUAACAAAAAUGUUUGAGCAGAAAUGCGAAAUUAAAGCAAACAAAUCAUCAAAGUGGAGGAAUUUUUUUCAUUGAAUUUGAAGCAUGAAUGCACAGAGAAGCAGACUGGGGAGUUAUGGUGUUCAGUUUUCAGCUCUUAAUUAGUUAUACGAUAAAUGGUAGGGAAUACCGAUUAUAUGCAUGAAUCAUGAUCAGAUAAUCAUUGCUGACAUGCAUGAAUAUGUAGUAACGAAGUGGUAGUGGGGAGGGAAUUAAGCUGAUUGAUACCUGCUGAGUUGAUGAUAUGGCGCCAAUCAACGAACGAACCAACGAGCUGCCUGGCCUGCCUUUUUAUGUUUGCACCCUGUAGUGAAUCAUCUGUGAGCUUGUUUCGUGUGGGUGUGAUUAAAUGCUCAGGAAACCACUGCGCAAUUUCUCUUCCCGCGUUGUACUUGGAGAUCAGUGAGUCAUUGACAAAAUAAUUUUAUUCGUUUAUAGUUUAGAUAGAUUAAUUAUUGAACAAGUAAGUUUAUUUAUUUGUUUCAGUGAAUAAUCUCACUACCAUGGUUUCGUAAUGUCCUGUCUCCUUGCUAAACUUGCUAUUAUGUACUACAUACAACAUUCCAGAUACAACAACAGUAGGAUGUUUUUACUUUUAACAAAUUCAGGGUCAGCAUGUUCAUUUCUAAAAUACUGGAGGCCAAUUGUUGAAAAAGUAAAAUUCAAGGGCCUACAAGUUAUUAAUGUAAAAUAUACUUGGGCUUUUAGGCCCAUAAAAGUAGAAGCCCAAAGUGUACAAACUGCAAAGAACUGAAAUUUUGGCUGUUUGGUAGUACCCCCCCACCCCGACCUCAGUUCAAACUUCAAAGUAGAAACUACUCGCCUUUCCUCACUACUUGCCCUGGUCCUCGUUCCUGAAAGCAUAUUUAUUGAAGCCAAUCAAAUUGUUCGUAAAUGUAAGAAAAAAGCGCUUUUGAUUGUUUGUAUUUGUAGCUGAGUGUGUUCAAAGAAAAUGGAAGUGGAUGACGAAUGGGAGUUCAGCGCAGAAGAAUUGGAUUUCCUUGAAAGAGAAGCUCUUCAGCAGAUUGCUCAACGCCACAGCAAACCCUUUUCUGAUUCUCCUUCAUACAAGGUAAGGCUCUCUCCUUUUUCCUCAAUUCUUUCCAAAGAUCCUGCAAGUAUUUUGCCUUUUGUAUUUUUUUAACUGUUUAAGAUGUUCACUCCGUUUUGAUUUUGGAUACAACUAUUGAGCAAAUUUUAAGAAAGGAGCCCUUUUCUUAAGGGGUUGCCAAAAGUUUCAUCCCUGCUUCUCAAAAGUACCCCCAUUUGAAUUUCCUUUUUGGAGCACUUUAAGUUUGUGCAUUCUGUUGUUCUUUUCUUUUUAUUGUUUAAUGACCCUUGUGGUGUAACCAUUGAUAUGAUUACCUUAAGGAUGAUUACUUGGUUGUUCUGGUUUACUAGCAAUGAAUGAUGCCAUCUGUUUAGAUGUGAAGGAAAGAGUUGCACUAUCAUGGAUUUUUUCUUUAUGUUGUAAUUCAGGUAGAAGCUUUGCCCCAGGGGUCCAGAACAUUGCCCUUAUCAGUUGCACCCCCUCCUAAAGGAAGCUUGGGUUGGUUUCUCCCUGUGCUAAAAUUACCCUUGCUCAUUAUUUAUUAAAUGGCUAACAAGUUGUAUUCUUCUAGUAGUCAUAAUCAUUUUGUUGAAUUGUGGAUUAUCUGGCUAACUACUUGACUCCUGUCUAAACUUGCUGUGUCCCCACCAUUUUGUGCUCAACCAGGUGAUUUUUCUAAGGAACAAGUACCUAAGCUCUCUGUCAAAUUUUAUUUUCAUACAAGUGGAAAUAUUGCUGCAAAAUUUACAUAUGACCCGGUAUAUCUUCUAUUUGCUGGCAUAAUGAUCCAGAAUUCUAGAGCAAGUCUGAUUUUGUUAAUGCAUGCAUAAUUUUCUCUCUCUCUCUCUCUCUCUUUUUUUUUAAUAAUAAAAUCUAGGUGCUAGUAGGUGCUUUCCGCAAGAUCCCUAAAGCCACAUGGAAUGCGAAAGAAAGGUCUUGUUCCAUAUCUCUAAGCAUAUCUUUUAUGCACCAUGCAAAAAUGGUUGUGUCUCUUGCACACUUGUUUGAGCUUUCACGAGCAUUGAGCCUUAGCAUGCUACACUGCCAUUGAACCUGCAGAUUGUGGACUUUCCCAGUUCCGUUUUUAUCAUCAGCAGAGAAAGUUUUGAGUGAAAUAUCUGGUUACAAUGUUGAGGUGGUAACUUGUGCAUUUUUAUCUCUUUAUGAUUAUCCAAUCUUUUCACAGUACUGCAUUUUAUUAAAAAAUAAAUAAAUUAUUUUGGGGGUUGUGAUCGGUGUAAGGAGGAGGGGUUUUCCCUGAAGAAACAGAAUGCAUUUUAUAAACUUUAGAAUUCUGCACUUAUCUUUGAAUCACAAAUUGUGUCAUUUUCACACUUAAUUAUCUAUUAUAAUAUAUUCCAGAUAGAGAACCUGCAUCCCUUGGUUCAACUUAUUCAUAAAAAGAAAGAUAUACAAUAAGAUCAUAAUCAGAUUUUGUAGGUUUCAUAUAUGUUCUGGAAAUACAAUCUUAUUUGCUAGAGAUUGUAUUCAGGAUUUGAUAUAUCUUGGGGGUAAUUUGCCAUUAAUACUCUAUAGCAAACCAAGAUUGGAGAGGGCAAAUAAAACCUUAAAGGAAAGUGUGCAAACACGUCUCAAAUCCUAAGAAACAUUCUUUGUUCUUUGCCUCCAUAUUCUUAUAAUUCACCAACAACAUUUGCCCACUGCUAAGAUGUGCAUCUUAUCAAUCACAUGCGUGACCCAUCUUAUUAUCCGGUUGGGAAAAUGUCCAGGAAAGAGUAACAAAUACAUGUGGGAUGUCAGCUCGCUGCUAUACUUAUGCAUAUUAGUGAAUGGCAUGAAUCUCAUCUAUACAUAUAUAAUGGAAUCAUGACUCAUUGUAGGAGAUCGAAGUGUUGGUGCUGUAAGUCAGGAUAUUUAUACAAAUUAAACAACUGCCUCUUUGCUUUAAUUCCUUGCGAUAUCGCAUUAUUCUGUUGUAGCAUCAAACAAUCUCCAGAUAGCGGUGGGAUUGAAUCUAGACAUACUAGUUAUGCAGCUUCAGCAAAUCCUAUUUGUAGAUUACCAAAAUCAAAAACUGUGUGAUAUGCCCUCAGGAACAUGUCUCCUAGAACCCUGCUUAAACAUACAGAUAUUGUACAUCACGCAUCUAUAAAUAUAUUCCAAAUAUGAUUUGCAUGGAGUAAGAGAACUAUAGCUACAGUAGCUGCAAAUUUUUCUAAAUGGCAUGUGCAUAGAAAGAUUAGUAACUAAAGACUUAGUGACUUACCAAAGGGGACCUUGCGGCGGAGGUACAUCCAAUGCGAUGAACCCACUAAUACAUAUGGUAGAAUGGCCUUCUUCAAUUUUGAAAAUAUACUGAAAGAAACCCAAAAUAUUCGAAGCUCUAAUUAAUACUAUUCUGGCAAGAGACAGGGACCUGUUUAUUGCUCUUGCUUAUGAAUAUAAAAUGCCAAAGAGAUUCCAAAUGAUAGAAUACACACCUGUUCUGGAGAGAGGGGGAAGGACCUAUUUCCAAUGGUGAACGAAACAUAUGGCAUGCUUGCGAUGUCAUCACAGUUGAUAAAUGAUUUUCCCAUGGGGUUUGGAAGUACCUCGCAAAGCUUAAACAAACACAACAGAAAUACUAAGACUGCAAGUAAUUAUCAGUGAUGUAAUAUUUCAAAAAUAAAAAAGGAAAGAAAAGCAGCUAUAUAGGCACCUUAUCUGCAUAUUUGAAUAUUGCCUCCUUUGUUUUUUGUUGUUUAAGCUGCAUUUGAAUCCAGAAAACAAUCAUCUCACAGAAAGCGCAUAGCGUGCUCUCAUUUAUAGAUGACCCGUUGCUGGUUUUAUGUUGCACAACAGUCUCAAUACCAGUGCUGCAUGGAUCUCAAAUAAGGUUUAAUCAAGAGGAUUGCAAAUGAUAAAACCAAAGAGGAAAGCAAGUAAGAAUUACUUCAUAUAGCGAGAUCCAUUAUAUACACAUAAUCCAAUGUCUGAACAAACAGUUUCAGGUUGUACCUACAUAGAUGGAAUGUAGAUUGUUGGAGUCAUUACGAAGAUAAAUAAAUAUUGAAUUAGAUGGUUGAGACAGAAAAUUUUCCAAAGAAAGAAAAAACAAACCCCAGAUAUUAGGAAUUCCCAAAUCAUAUUCCCAUACUCAAAAACAACAGUUUUACAUUGCAUGCUCACAAUUCCUUCUGCUCCAAUAGCAUGAUUGAUUUGAGCCACUACAGUCUGGAAAGAAGAGUAAGCAAGUAUAGCAUUGAAGUCAGAGAGGACACAAAAAGAUAUGAAGCAAAUUAAAUGUUCAAGACCUCUUAAGUUAAAAGUCAAUACAGUUGGACCAGCAAGUACUGAUGUUCCCGAGUCCAAAAUGGCAGUGCAACCAUCUUCACAAAAUCCUGAGAAUAUUUGAAAAUAAAAUCUUAAGCCUGGUUAUGCUUGUGAGAAUUGCAUAUAAUGAAUGGAAAUGCUUGGGGCCACCGAAAGCCUGGUUGAUUUUAUACUGCACAGAAGCCUAUGUGUUUGUCUUAGACUUUGUUUCAAGUUGUAAAAUAUGUCAUAACACAGAAAUUCAGUCAUGAUGGAGGGAAGUUGGGCCUUAAAUCUCAUCGAAUCACCUGUUGAACUGUUUUCAAUCAAAAUAUCUCCCACCUUAAUCUGAAAAUAAGAAUGAAUUGAAAUUAAAUUUCAACUUAUUCAUAAGUAGUCAGAGAACUAGAACUUUAUUCCUUUCAACAGACCUGCCAGUAGCCUUUCUCAGUAAUCGGAACAUAGAUAUGGCUACCCCUAAAAUGCCUCCAAUCAAAACCUCCAAAGAUUAUCUCACCUCCGACUUCUGAAUUUGGAUCCUGAUUGAGCCAGAGAGAGAAUAUUUUCUGGCUAAUAUGACCUUGUCGCACCAUAUUAUACCUGUAGUCAGAGCACUAAACUAUUUGUUCCAUACUCAAAGAUUCAGAGUAAGCCAAAGAGAAACAAAUCCUUCUCUUUAUAUUAUUAUAAUGGUGCUAAAGUAACAAUAAGUAGAGCUGUUAUUAAAAAUUUAUACCACAGUGGCGUGGCAUUCCCAGCAGCAAUAUCCCGAAACCCAAGUCCAAGAAUCCCAUCAAAUUGCAGAGCCAGGAAUGGUAAUAAUCCUUCCUUAGUGACCUCAACAAACUCCUGAAGGAUGAGAAGAUCAUAACAUCACUAUAAAGUAGUCACAAAAAUAUCUGAAGUUCAAUAUCUUGGGAGGAAGCAAAAAAGCAUACUUGAUCCUUGAUGAUCAUAUCGCCGAUUUUGACAUUGUCUUGGCUGAAGAAGCCAGAAAUUUGUCCAGAGCCAUAAUGAAUUUUGCAAGGUACUCCUGAAAUAUAAGUAUAAUUUACAAGAAGAUCUCAACUUAUUUAUACAAACAAUUACUGUGCCCACUAGAAAUAUCCCAAACAUAUUUAAAAAUGUGAUCCUCUAAAAUCAAGAGCCUUACAAAGGUGAUGCAGGAGGAAAAUUACCAAUCUUAGUAUAAGUCCUGGACAGCCUCGCCCUGUAUCUCGAAUGUAAAUAGCAAGAUAUCUGCAUAUGGUGAUGCUUAAUUAUUAUGAGCACUCACAUUCACAUGAGAAGAAAAAGGAAAGGACUUGAGAGAUGCAGCAUUUGCAGACUUACAGAAAAAAGGCAUUUAGAAGAUGGGACCCAAAGAUUAGAGCUGCCAGUAUCAAAGACGACAGAGAAACUUUGUGGAGGUGAACCAAUACCAAUCUCUCCAUAAUAUUGGGCAUCAAGAUAGUUGUUUAAAUAAACUACAUCUGCUUUAGGAUGAUUGAAACGAUUGUGAACCUCGUUUUUAGUGAUUAACCUUGCAGCGUUGAUGGUGUUAAUGCCUAACUGCCGC